CGCCCGUUGGGAUUACCAGCUAGAUCGCCGCUCUUUCAAGGCGGAGGACCGGGGGCAGCACCCGGACGGGCGACCA
rnacentral:tRNA from 1 species